GAUGAACGCUGGCGGCGUGCCUAAUACAUGCAAUCGAGCGAACAGAUGAGGAGCUUGCUCCUCUGACGUUAGCGGCGGACGGGUGAGUAACACGUGGAUAACCUACCUAUAAGACUGGGAUAACUUCGGGAAACCGGAGCUAAUACCGGAUAAUAUAUUGAACCGCAUGGUUCAAUAGUGAAAGACGGUUUUGCUGUCACUUAUAGAUGGAUCCGCGCCGCAUUAGCUAGUUGGUAAGGUAACGGCUUACCAAGGCGACGAUGCGUAGCCGACCUGAGAGGGUGAUCGGCCACACUGGAACUGAGACACGGUCCAGACUCCUACGGGAGGCAGCAGUAGGGAAUCUUCCGCGAUGGGCGAAAGCCUGACGGAGCAACGCCGCGUGAGUGAUGAAGGUCUUAGGAUCGUAAAACUCUGUUAUUAGGGAAGAACAAAUGUGUAAGUAACUAUGCACGUCUUGACGGUACCUAAUCAGAAAGCCACGGCUAACUACGUG
rnacentral:rRNA from 1 species